rnacentral:rRNA from 1 species
CUGAACCAGCCAAGUAGCGUGAAGGAUGACUGCCCUAUGGGUUGUAAACUUCUUUUAUAAAGGAAUAAAGGCGGGUAUGGAUACCCCUUUGCAUGUACUUUAUGAAUAAGGAUCGGCUAACUCCGUGCCAGCAGCCGCGGUAAUACGGAGGAUCCGAGCGUUAUCCGGAUUUAUUGGGUUUAAAGGGAGCCUAGAUGGAUGUUUAAGUCAGUUGUGAAAGUUUGCGG